AUACCACGAUGGGGACAUCGCCUCAACAACUUUUUGAAAUUUUCCUAAGCAUCAAAUAAAGAAUCGUCUCCCUCUUGUCAAAAUGAAGUGAUUUUGUUUCACAUUUU